rnacentral:rRNA from 1 species
UACGGGGGGAGCAAGCGUUGUUCGGAUUUACUGGGCGUAAAGGGCGCGUAGGCGGUCAGCACAAGUCAGUUGUGAAAUCUCCGGGCUUAACUCGGAAAGGUCAACUGAUACUGUGCGACUAGAGUGCAGAAGGGGCAACUGGAAUUCUCGGUGUAGCGGUGAAAUGCGUAGAUAUCGAGAGGAACACCUGCGGCGAAGGCGGGUUGCUGGGCUGACAUGACGCUGAUGCGCGAAAGCCAGGGGAGCGAACGGG